CGCGGUGCUGCAGACACACACGGUGUUUGUCAACGUGUCCAAAGGCCAGGUGGCGAAGAAGGAAGAUCUCAUUCGAGCGUUUGGGACAGAUGACCAAACAGAAAUCUGUAAGGUGAUUUUAUUAAAAGGAGAGCUGCAGGUAUCGGACAAAGAAUGACACACG